CAGUCGCCACGGUAAUACGGAGGGUGCAAGCGUUAAUCGGAAUUACUGGGCGUAAAGCGCACGCAGGCGGUCUGUCAAGUCAGAUGUGAAAUCCCCGGGCUUAACCUGGGAACUGCAUUUGAAACUGGCAGGCUAGAGUCUUGUAGAGGGGGGUAGAAUUCCAGGUGUAGCGGUGAAAUGCGUAGAGAUCUGGAGGAAUACCGGUGGCGAAGGCGGCCCCCUGGACAAAGACUGACGCUCAGGUGCGAAAGCGUGGGGAGCAAACAGGAUUAGAUACCCGUGUAGUCCCUGUCUCUUAUAC
rnacentral:rRNA from 1 species